rnacentral:lncRNA from 1 species
CGGGUCUGGGUGCUGCUGUUUGCUUCAUGCUCAGCUCGGCACUGGAGACGCAGCCCUUCGCCACACUGUGCUGGAACGGCAGAUCCAUGCGGCCCCCGCCACCAUGCAGCAGGGCUGGUGGAGCUGCUGCCCGAGGGUCUCACCGCACCCGGUGGGCGCCGCGCUGACCGACCGCACCGAAGGCACUGCGCAGGGCUCGGGGUGCUGCUCCCU